rnacentral:rRNA from 1 species
GAUGAACGCUGGCGGCGUGCUUAACACAUGCAAGUCGAACGGUGAAGCCAAGCUUGCUUGGUGGAUCAGUGGCGAACGGGUGAGUAACACGUGAGCAACCUGCCCUGGACUCUGGGAUAAGCGCUGGAAACGGCGUCUAAUACUGGAUAUGAGCUCUCAUCGCAUGGUGGGGGUUGGAAAGAUUUUUCGGUCUGGGAUGGGCUCGCGGCCUAUCAGCUUGUUGGUGAGGUAAUGGCUCACCAAGGCGUCGACGGGUAGCCGGCCUGAGAGGGUGACCGGCCACACUGGGACUGAGACACGGCCCAGACUCCUACGGGAGGCAGCAGUGGGGAAUAUUGCACAAUGGGCGGAAGCCUGAUGCAGCAACGCCGCGUGAGGGAUGACGGCCUUCGGGUUGUAAACCUCUUUUAGCAGGGAAGAAGCGAGAGUGACGGUACCUGCAGAAAAAGCGCCGGCUAAAUACGUGCCAGCAGCCGCGGUAAUACGUAGGGCGCAAGCGUUAUCCGGAAUUAUUGGGCGUAAAGAGCUCGUAGGCGGUUUGUCGCGUCUGCUGUGAAAUCCCGAGGCUCAACCUCGGGCCUGCAGUGGGUACGGGCAGACUAGAGUGCGGUAGGGGAGAUUGGAAUUCCUGGUGUAGCGGUGGAAUGCGCAGAUAUCAGGAGGAACACCGAUGGCGAAGGCAGAUCUCUGGGCCGUAACUGACGCUGAGGAGCGAAAGGGUGGGGAGCAAACAGGCUUAGAUACCCUGGUAGUCCACCCCGUAAACGUUGGGAACUAGUUGUGGGGACCAUUCCACGGUUUCCGUGACGCAGCUAACGCAUUAAGUUCCCCGCCUGGGGAGUACGGCCGCAAGGCUAAAACUCAAAGGAAUUGACGGGGACCCGCACAAGCGGCGGAGCAUGCGGAUUAAUUUCGAUGCAACGCGAAGAACCUUACCAAGGCUUGACAUACACCAGAACACCGUAGAAAUACGGGACUCUUUGGACACUGGUGAACAGGUGGUGCAUGGUUGUCGUCAGCUCGUGUCGUGAGAUGUUGGGUUAAGUCCCGCAACGAGCGCAACCCUCGUUCUAUGUUGCCAGCACGUAAUGGUGGGAACUCAUGGGAUACUGCCGGGGUCAACUCGGAGGAAGGUGGGGAUGACGUCAAAUCAUCAUGCCCCUUAUGUCUUGGGCUUCACGCAUGCUACAAUGGCCGGUACAAAGGGCUGCAAUACCGUGAGGUGGAGCGAAUCCCAAAAAGCCGGUCCCAGUUCGGAUUGAGGUCUGCAACUCGACCUCAUGAAGUCGGAGUCGCUAGUAAUCGCAGAUCAGCAACGCUGCGGUGAAUACGUUCCCGGGUCUUGUACACACCGCCCGUCAAGUCAUGAAAGUCGGUAACACCUGAAGCCGGUGGCCCAACCCUUGUGGAGGGAGCCGUCGAAGGUGGGAUCGGUAAUUAGGACU